rnacentral:rRNA from 1 species
UUUAAAUUGAGAGUUUGAUCCUGGCUCAGGAUGAACGCUGGUGGCGUGCCUAAUACAUGCAAGUCGUACGCUAGCCGCUGAAUUGAUCCUUCGGGUGAAGUGAGGCAAUGACUAGAGUGGCGAACUGGUGAGUAACACGUAAGAAACCUGCCCUUUAGUGGGGGAUAACAUUUGGAAACAGAUGCUAAUACCGCGUAACAACAAAUCACACAUGUGAUCUGUUUGAAAGG